AUUGGCAAGUGAGAACACCUUCCCUAACAAACGUUCACUUUCACCAUAAUACUUUGACAUAAUAAUUUCCAAAGGCACAUAUAACAAUGGGACACCCGCUUGAUUAGCUAUAACACGUGCACAAGAUGUCUUUCCAGUUCCUGGUGGACCUUCAAAUAAGACUGCCCGAGGCCGGUUCGUCUCAAAUUUACAUCGAGUCCCACGAGCAAUAUCAUCAUA
rnacentral:misc_RNA from 1 species